GCCUGGCUCCACCCCUUCUGUAUUACGUGUGAUUGAAGUCAACCUACUCGACCUACGUGAGCUGGAUACGUGAAAGGGUUCUCAUGGGCAGUCGUGCGAACUGCGCGUGUUAAAGCGCCUGCGCUCUUCGGGAGAAUCGAAGCCCAAGUCUCAAGACACCUAGGUUUCCAAUUGACGGCCUUGUUCGAUUCACCCAUCCGACCAGUGAUUGCAUGGUUGUGAACUGUUUUGCAAGGUAUUGAGACUGGUACAGUUGAUUAAAAUUUGACGUCCACAUUUGCUUGUAAACAGUUUUCUUCUGGCAUAGG